UACUCCUACGGGAGGCAGCAGUGGGGAAUAUUGGACAAUGGGCGCAAGCCUGAUCCAGCCAUACCGCGUGGGUGAAGAAGGCCUUCGGGUUGUAAAGCCCUUUUGUUGGGAAAGAAAAGCAUUCGGUUAAUACCCGGGUGUUCUGACGGUACCCAAAGAAUAAGCACCGGCUAACUUCGUGCCAGCAGCCGCGGUAAUACGAAGGGUGCAAGCGUUACUCGGAAUUACUGGGCGUAAAGCGUGCGUAGGUGGUGGUUUAAGUCCGUUGUGAAAGCCCUGGGCUCAACCUGGGAAUUGCAGUGGAUACUGGAUCACUAGAGUGUGGUAGAGGAUAGUGGAAUUUCCGGUGUAGCAGUGAAAUGCGUAGAGAUCGGAAGGAACACCUGUGGCGAAGGCGACUAUCUGGGCCAACACUGACACUGAGGCACGAAAGCGUGGGGAGCAAACAGGAUUAGAUACCCUGGUAGUCCACGCCCUAAACGAUGCGAACUGGAUGUUGGGUUCAACUUGGAACCCAGUAUCGAAGCUAACGCGUUAAGUUCGCCGCCUGGGGAGUACGGUCGCAAGACUGAAACUCAAAGGAAUUGACGGGGGCCCGCACAAGCGGUGGAGUAUGUGGUUUAAUUCGAUGCAACGCGAAGAACCUUACCUGGUCUUGACAUCCACGGAACUUUCCAGAGAUGGAUUGGUGCCUUCGGGAACCGUGAGACAGGUGCUGCAUGGCUGUCGUCAGCUCGUGUCGUGAGAUGUUGGGUUAAGCCCCGCAACGAGCGCAACCCUUGUCCUUAGUUGCCAGCACGUAAAGGUGGGAACUCUAAGGAGACCGCCGGUGACAAACCGGAGGAAGGNGGGGAUGACGUCAAGUCAUCAUGGCCCUUACGACCAGGGCUACACACGUACUACAAUGGUCAGGACAGAGGGCUGCAAGCCGGNGANGGNG
rnacentral:rRNA from 1 species